rnacentral:misc_RNA from 1 species
GUGAAGAACGUAGUGAAAUGCGAUAAGUAAUGUGAAUUGCAGAAUUCAGUGAAUCAUCAAAUCUUUGAACGCACAUUGCGCCCCCUGGUAUUCCGGGGGGCAUGCCUGUCCGAGCGUCAUUACAACCCUCAAGCUCAGCUUGGUGUUGGGCCCCGCCGCCCCGGCGGGCCCUAAAGUCAGUGGCGGUGCCGUCCGGCUCCGAGCGUAGUAAUUCUUCUCGCUCUGGAGGUCCGGUCGUGUGCUCGCCAGCAACCCCCAAUUUUUUUCAGGUUGACCUCGGAUCAGGUAGGGAUACCCGCUGAACUUAAGCAUAUCAAUAAGCGGAGGA